rnacentral:lncRNA from 1 species
AACCCUCUUCCAAGCAAGUUGUUAAUUUGCUUUUUUCAAUAAUUCCUGGCAACUCCAACCGCACCCUAAACCUUCAUUUCCAUCUUCCGGUCGCCGUACUACCUCCGCCCUCAAUUUCUCGACUUUCAUUCCCCUUAUUAGCCUCCGUGUGGAUACCAAAGGUAUACUUCUCCACUGAUAUUUCUUAUUGUUCUGUUAAAUUCCCCUAAUUUCUAUUUUCUUUCUUUGAAUGUUUUGUUUGUUGAGUAUGUUUCUGAAUUGAAGUGAACUGCUCUGUUCCCACUCCCUUUGUUUAAAGAAAACCCCAUCACCGACUUUGAAAAGUCCUUUUUCGUUUCUUUUUUGUUUCCGACAUGAAAACGGCUUCGUAACUGCGUUCUCUGUUAAGAAAUAAGUACAACGAUAUUCGGCAUCCACAACAAACAUCUACUUCUCCAUUCGUAUUUUUCAAUUUUCGUUAUAAGUAAUCUCUCUGAGCUCUCUCUCUCUCUCUCUAAGACCGCCGCUUCAUUUGCUCCUCCUUCCUCUCUCUAGGGUUUUGAGGUUUGAGCUUGUUCUAUCGAAAAAUCAUAAAUUUCUACUUUAUUGUAGGGUUUUUGACUUUGCUGCACGGUAAAACGGGAAUCUUUCCUCUGGUUUCACGCUGAGUUGCUGUGAUUUGUUGGCCCCUGCAAUUGGUUUUCCCUCAAGGUUUUGUUUCUUCUUCUUCUUCUUUUCCUUUUGUUUAAGUUAAUUUGGGCUUACUUUUUAUUGAUAUAGAAUUAGAAUCAUUUUUUAGCUGCUCUUUAUUUAUGUUCUUGUUCUUUUUGGAUGACAUUUGGUAACAACUUAAUUUAGAUUAUUGGAGCUAGAUAUUGUACUUUAGGGUUUAAUUGUCAUGUUCCUUGCAGUUGUAUGCAUAGAGUUGGUGGGAAAUCGACUCUCAUUAGGUCCUUUUUUCCCCGGAAAUAUUAGUUUUUAUGUGGCGCGUAUUGAUGCUGGGUGCUAACUUUUGUAUUUUCUGCGGUGGUCCGAUACAUUCGAGGAGCAUGUGGUGUUUGAUCUUCCUUUUUUUUGCGCGUAAUUCACAUCAUUUUAUCUUUAUUUUCUGUUUUUGGAUAAUAUCAUGUAAUGGCAUAGUCCACGGUUUUUGUAGCUUGGAAUCACACAUUAGGGUUCAAUUGGUUUGUAACUUGCACUUUUCUGCAUAAAUUAUUUGUGCUGCUUUUUCAAAUUCUAGUUUCUGUAGUGAUUGAGAUUAAUGAUGCAUGAUAAUAGCUCAUUUUUUAGCUGCAUCGGUCUGAUUUCUUUGGGGAGCAUGUGUUGUUUGUCUUUGUCUUGUGGUGUUGACACGUUCACCCUAAUUUGCCAGGUAGAAAACACCGCUUCAAAUUUUCUUACAUCUCAAUUCUAUCUCCGCUGUUUUCUUUGCUCUGCUUCUGUUUAGUACCAAGCUCUUUGUUGUUCUUCUUCUCCAGGUUUUCCUCUGUGUUCUUAUCUUUACCCUCUUUGUCCUGUACGUGUUUGAUAAAAUUCCUCUUUCAGCUUUAUUGUGUUUUUCUUUGUUCAAAGCAUAUUGGUUAGAAAAAUUCCACGGAAUUGUAGUAAAAAUGUCCGGCUAAAGCUGUUUAGAGAAAAGUCUACAAAGAUGUUAGACUCCGGAUUUCAUGAUUCUUUCUUAUGAAAUACAUUAUUUUUUUUACAGUUCUGACGCGUAUAUUCCUCAAAACGAACACUUCUACAUUUUUCUUUAUCCAGUUUUUUCGACCUACUCAAUUCUUCUCCGACUUUCCUCUGUCUUUUAAAUAUGUUCUCUGCUACACAGUUUAUGACUUUUUCUUUUUCCUUUUUUUGUUCAAAUUGGGUAAAUUGUUGGUUGCGACUGUUUGUGAAAUUACAUACAAUUUCAACCUCAUGGCGUUAGUAUAUCAUCUCUAUUGUAAAAAGCUUAUGGGAUUUUUCAUAUUCCAAUUUGCCCUUUUAUAUGAAAAGUUUUAAGCUUUUUAUACAUUAGUUUUGGAUUUUUGGUGCAGAUUGUUAUCUUAAUUUUUUUCUAUGUUGGAUUUCUGUGGAAUUAUGAUAUAUAUGUGUUCUUACUCAAAAAAUACAAUAUGUUUUUCUCAUUAUCUCCUUUUCUAAUUUUAAUUUAUCAGCUUGCUAUCAACAAGUUUAUGAUUUGUUGUGCGAUGACACGAAGAAUAAUGUAGUCUGGAACUGAACUUUGGACUUUUACGUCUGCGAAGUGGACAAAAACUAAGAUGAAAAUUUUGUAUGUCGAUUACCUACUUUGUUGAUGGUUGCUUUGAUAAGAACAUGGUCCCUGUCUCUUUGGACAUUGGGAUUUUUAGCUACUAACUUCCUUCCUUUUUAAUAAGUUUAUGUGUUGUUAUCUGUAAGUUUAUCAUAGCCCCACAGAUUUUCUUAGUGAGAUUGACUAAUUAUGUUUAAUGGGCAUUCACCAAUAUCACUAAAUUUAGGAUAUGCUAGAAAUUCUUGAUUCUUAAAUCCACCACAAUCAAUUCCUAAAGUUGUAGUAUUUCCAACUUUACUUAGUUAGCACUUAUCAUGUUAUUAACCUGAAUAUGGUCUGUCAUAAAAGCGUUUGUUGGCAAGCUAAAAUCUGGAAAGUUCUUUAGUACAUCAAGUCACCUAACCCAUAAGUUCAGAUUCUUUGGUGGUUGUAGAGUUCACUUGUUUUUCUUCCAUUUAUUCUAUGAUUUAUUUUGUUGUUGGCAGUAAACUUUCUCCUCUACCAGUUAUUCACAUAAUGUCCUAUACCAUUGGUGUUUACUCGCUAUGAAGGUACCUAAAAACUUUUUUCAUAUUGCACAUUUGGAAUAGCAAAGAUCAUUACCAAGUUUGGGACCAAGCAAUGGUACUAAUAGGAGAUGAUGAAUUAAGAGGUGCCUUCGAUGUGCUUGAAGAUGCAAACACUCCCGAAUUUUGGGGUAUUAUGUAUCUAUCUUUUAUGUAUGGUUCAACUAAAUAGCAGUAGGGCUUUAAGUACAAUAUACUUAUGUCCUCUUUUGCAUAUAUACAUAAAAGUACCUCAUCAGCACAUGCUGUACAUAUAAAUCUUUUGGUUAUGGUUAUCUAUUUUGCUUUCAAUAUGGAUCAGUGUUUAUGUUUCUUCUGCCAUAACACUAUUGCUGAAUUGACCUUCUCCAUGAAAUUAUUUUCAGAAUUUUGCCCGGAUUAGUGUAAGGAUCCAAGGUUUAUGUCUAUCCAUGUGAAAAAUAGUUGGCUUAUGUCUAUCCAUGAUUCUGUCAUUUUCAUACAGAAGAUUUAGUUAUAGUUUCCUGUUUUGAUUUCAAUUUAGAGGGGUGUUCUCUAUUGGCACAAUAACAUAAAGUCGAAUCAAAAGUUUUACCUGUAUUACUACCUCAAAAAACCCACGGAAGAAAUUACAUGAAACUUCUCAUGAUAAAUCCAGCAUUAUCUCGCAACAAUGCUAGCUUCGGUUGUGGCAUAGUUGGGGAAACAUAUGACGAAAUACUAACAAUUGUUGUUGCUUCCACUUCAACAGGUACGAAUUGAACUAAACCAUCCAUACCUUGUGUAUUUUUCACAUAAAUAAGAGAAAUUUCAAUAUUAAGUUUGCGAUAAACUCUUUUAAGUGUUUAAUUUUCACACUUUCUCUUUGUGAGUGAGUUUGCCUGAGGAUUUACCAUCUCAUUUUCGAUGAGACUGUGAUAUAAAUACACCUACUUAUCUUGAUUUCCAAAACUAAUUUCUAAGGAAACAUUAUUCUCCGAUUACGUGUAUAUACUUAUUUUUGGUACUGAGGUCCUUUCUUACUUUUACUUUUUCUGUUAACUUUAACAUAUAAGUAGUAGUGGUUUCUACUAACUAAGCCUAUCCUUGAUCUUGCUUGUGUCGAAACAUAUACUUAGUGGAAGUAUAUUACUCAUUUUAACACAGUUGUUAGGUGCUCAUUCAUGAACUAAUCUACUUUUCUGCUACGAAAGCAAGCAAUUUAAAAUCGAUUUCUGCUGCAACUCAGUUUUGGUUAAGAUUUCUUCUUUUUAUGUGUCUUGAGUUUGGAACAACUAAGUUUACUUCUCAUCGGUACCACUUGCAGAAGUUUAAGCUGCCAGAACCUGUUCUUUGCCGGUGUUUUUGUUAGCAUGCGACGACAAAUAGCGACGAGGGCCCGC